rnacentral:rRNA from 1 species
GACGAACGCUGGCGGCGUGCUUAACACAUGCAAGUCGAACGAAGAGCGAUGGAAGCUUGCUUCUAUCAAUCUUAGUGGCGAACGGGUGAGUAACGCGUAAUCAACCUGCCCUUCAGAGGGGGACAACAGUUGGAAACGACUGCUAAUACCGCAUACGAUCUAAUCUCGGCAUCGAGGAUAGAUGAAAGGUGGCCCCUACAUGUAAGCUAUCACUGAAGGAGGGGAUUGCGUCUGAUUAGCUAGUUGGAGGGGUAACGGCCCACCAAGGCGAUGAUCAGUAGCCGGUCUGAGAGGAUGAACGGCCACAUUGGGACUGAGACACGGCCCAGACUCCUACGGGAGGCAGCAGUGGGGAAUCUUCCGCAAUGGACGAAAGUCUGACGGAGCAACGCCGCGUGAGUGAUGACGGCCUUCGGGUUGUAAAGCUCUGUUAAUCGGGACGAAAGGCCUUCUUGCGAAUAGUGAGAAGGAUUGACCGUACCGGAAUAGAAAGCCACGGCUAACUACGUG